AAUAUCUUGCACAAAAUAAGCUAUAGAGAAAAGUGCACUUCUGCAGCACUAGUAGCAAUUUUCAUUCCAUUGCAAGGUGAGCUGUUCCUUGCCUCUGGCAUUCUCAUAACUUGUGAAAGAAUGGAAGGAGGUAUGUACCUUGAGUGUGUUUUCUUUUUGUCCAUGCCAGAGAGGUGUAACUUGAUGAAUCAUUUAAUAAUGAAGUGCCAAAUCAGUCUGUCUCUCUGUCUCUGCAAAGCCUCUUCAAUGCAAGCCUCUGAUCACUCUCAGCAUUAGCUCUGAUCUGCUUUUGGUGCUUCGCAAUUUUAAAAAAAAAUGAAGACAAAAACAAAAAGAUAUGGCAGAAGAGCCUAUUUAAAGUUAGUGAUUGAACCUGAGCUACAAAACUCAAAUUUUUGGAAGGGUCGUGUUAUGGAGAAGAAGGAAAAAAAAAGACAAACCAGGUUAGUUCUUCAAGAACUGUGUAUACAUUAACAUUAUUUUUCCAACUGCCUUCCUUUUAAUGGCACAUACUAACAUACCACCCACAAUCUGCACAACCUCCAGGCUCUGAACACUGUGCUAUAGAGGCUCAGGAACAAGCACAGGAACACUGCCACUUGUGCACACACACAGAGCAUGUCAUGUAUAUUCUUGACUCAUGACAGACACAGAUAUUUCUCUAAAAUGUAACAAUCCUAGAUAUUUGAUCACUCAAGAAAUUACAUGUGCAAUAAAUUGUCACUGAUGCUCAGUAAUGCAAACAUUACACACACUUCCUUCCACUCAUACGUUUUCACUAGUGUUUUAUCGUCAGAUUGACUUCUUUAUUUAACGUUACAGUUUACAUCAAUAUAUUGUUUAUAAUGAAAGGCAUGAAGGUGAAAGGUUUCAGAACCUUUACUGCCUUGAGUACCUUUAUAACUUUAGGAAGCUGCAACACACAGCUCCAUAGCAGACAGCAUGGCUUGGGGUUAGGGUUGCCUGGAGAUUACUCUAGAGAGUUAAAGUGCUUAAUUGUUUGAUCCUGACUAAUUAUUUGGUGUCAGCACAAUUCCCUGUUAACUGCUCCCUGGUGGAUGCUUCACCUGGCCUGGCUGUGCAGUGCACUAUUGAUAUUUAUAGCAUCACAUGUACACUUGGGGUCAGUUGGGCUCAGUUUACUCGUUCAGUACUAUACAAUUUAUCUACAGUUAAAAAGUAUAUAUUUUAUCAUUGUUUUACAUAUACAUUUCUUUGUUUUUUUGUUUACUGGUUGUAAUGUAUUUUAUAUAUAGUUUUACAAAAUUUCAUUCCAGAGAGUACAGAGACAUUUUGGACAGAGACAUUGAUUGAUUAAUUUGUUCCUUUAUUUGUCUCUAUCUACCUAUCUGUCCAUCUAGCCACCCAUCCAUGAUCCAUCCAUCUACCCACCCAUCUGUCUAUCAGUCUAUCUGUCAAUCUGUCUGUAUGCCUCUGUCCAUCCAUCCAUUCACCCACCUGUCCAUCUGUCUGUCUAUCCAUUUAUCCAUACAUCCAUUUAUCUAUUCACCCACCAUCCAUCCAUACAUCCAUUUAUCUAUUCACCCACCAUCCAUCCAUACAUCCAUUUAUCUAUUCACCCACCAUCCAUCCAUACAUCCAUUUAUCUAUUCACCCACCAUCCAUCCAUACAUCCAUUUAUCUAUUCAUCCAUCCAUCUAUCGCUCCCUCUGCCCAGCUAUCUAUCCAUCUAUACAUUUAUUUAUUUAUCUAUCCCAUCCACCCAUCCAUUUACAGUGCUGUGGAAAAGUAUUCACCCCCAUCCUGAUUUCUUCUCUUUUUGUGUAAAUCUCAUACUAAAUUGUUUCAGAAAUUCAAACAAAAUCUAAGAUACAACAAAGGCAACCUGAGUAAGCACAAAAUACAGUUUUUAAAUGAUAGUUAUUUAUUAAAGCAAAAAUGUUAUCCAAUACCAACUGGGCCUGUGUGAAAAUGUAUUUGCCUCAGUAGUUGCUAAUUUCCCCAACAUCUGAAACUGCAUUCAUAAUAGGGUUCAGGUGGACUAGACACAACCAGGCCUGAUUAUUGAAAACCCUGUUCAAUCAAAUAGACACUUAAAUAGAACUUUUUCAGCAGCAUGAAGUUUAAAAAGUCUUACCCAGUUACACACUAUGCCAAAGUAAAAAAACAACAACAAACAAACAAACAAAAAACACAAAUAAUGAGGAAGAAGGUGAUUGAAAUUCAUCAGUCUGGGAAGGGUUACAAAGCUAUUUCAAAGGCUGUGGGACUCCAAAGUACCACAGUGAGAGCCAUUAUCUCCAAAUGGAAAAAACUCUGCACAGUAGUGAAAAUUCCCAGAAGUGGCCAACCUUCCAAAAUUCCUCCAAGAGCACAGCAACUACUCAUCCAGGAAGUCACAAAAGAGCCAAGGACAACACCAAAAGGACCUACAGGCCUCUCUUGCAUCAAUAAAGGUCACUGUUCAUGACUCCACUAUCAGAAAGACACUGGGCAAAAAUGGCUUCCAUGGAAGAGUGGAGAGGCGAAAACCACUGCCAACCCAGAAGAACAUUAAGCCAAAACACACCUUGAUGAUCCUCAAACCUUUCCGAGAAUGUUCGAUGGACUGAUGAGUCGAAAGUAGAAUUGUUUGGAAGACAGGGGCCCCAUUACAUCCGACAUAAACCAAACACAGAAUUCCACCAAAAGAACAUCAUACAUAUGGUCAAGCAUGGUGGUGGAAGUGUGAUGGUGUGGGGAUGCUUUGCUGCUUCAGGGCCUGGGCAACUUGCAAUAAUUGAGGGGAAACAUGACUCCUGAUCUCUACCAGAAAAUCCUAAAGGAGAAUGUCCGGCCUUCUGUCCAUAAAUUGAAACUCAAGCGCAAGUGCAGCAAGCAGCAAGAUAAUGAUCCAAAGCAUAGAAGUAAGUCCAACUCUGAAUGACUAAUAAAAAAACUUUUUAUUUAGUUUUGUUAUGGCCUAAAGUCCUGACAUCAACCAGCUGAGAUGCUGUGGCAGGACCUUAAACAGGCAGUUCAUGCUUGAAAACCCACUACUGUGGCUGAACUAAAGCAGUUCUGCAAUGAAGAGUGGGCCAAAAUUCCACCACAGUGCUGUGAAAAUUUUCUCCAGUUAUCGGAAGUGCUUGGUUGCAGUUAUUGCUGCUAAAGGUGACACAAACAGAUUUUAAGUUUAAGGGAGCAGUUGUACCUGUAAGGUUUUUUUUUUUUUU
ensembl:lncRNA